AUUGAACGCUGGCGGCAGGCCUAACACAUGCAAGUCGCACGAGUGGCGGACGGGUGAGUAAUGUCUGGGAAACUGCACGAUGGAGGGGGAUAACUACUGGAAACGGUAGAUAAUACCGCAUACCAUCGGAUGUGCCCAGAUGGGAUUAGCUAGUAGGUGGGGUAACGGCGCACCUAGGCGACGAUCCCUAGCUGGUCUGAGAGGAUGACCAGCCACACUGGAACUGAGACACGGUCCAUACUCCUACGGGUGGCAGCAGUGGGGAAUAUUGCACAAUGGGCGCAAGCCGGAUGCAGCCAUGACGCGUGAAUGAUGAAGGCCUUCGGGUUGUAAAGUACUUUCAGCGGGGAGGCGUUACCCGCAGAAGAAGCACCGGCUAACUCCGUACCAGCAGCCGCGGUAAUUC
rnacentral:rRNA from 1 species